rnacentral:tRNA from 1 species
GCGGGUGGGGUCCGGUGGUCGGACGCCACACUUCCGGUGUGGAGAUCGGGGUUCGAAUCCUCGCGCCCGCUCCA